GACGAACGCUGGCGGCGUGCUUAACACAUGCAAGUCGAGCGGUAAGGCCCUUUCGGGGGUACACGAGCGGCGAACGGGUGAGUAACACGUGGGUGACCUGCCUUUAGCUCUGGGAUAAGCCUGGGAAACCGGGUCUAAUACCGGAUAUGACUCCGCGGCGCAUGUUGUGGGGUGGAAAGCCUUGUGCGGCUGGAGAUGGGCCCGCGGCCUAUCAGCUUGUUGGUGGGGUGAUGGCCUACCAAGGCGACGACGGGUAGCCGGCCUGAGAGGGCGACCGGCCACACUGGGACUGAGACACGGCCCAGACUCCUACGGGAGGCAGCAGUGGGGAAUCUUGCGCAAUGGGCGAAAGCCGGACGCAGCGACGCCGCGUGAGGGA
rnacentral:rRNA from 1 species